rnacentral:pre_miRNA from 14 species
GCUGGCAGGGUCACAACCAGUGCAGACAGGCGUGGUCCAGGCAUCUCUGGGCUAGUAUCUCUUUGAGUACCUCACUCUCAAGAACAACUAGAAGGCCUCUGCGCCUUCC